UACGGAAGGGGCGAGCGUUGUUCGGAAUCAUUGGGCGUAAAGGGCGCGUAGGUGGUUCUGUAUGUCUACCGUGAAAGCGUACGGCUCAACCGUAUUUUGUCGGUAGAAACUGCAGGACUUGAGGCUGGGAGGGGCUGGUGGAAUUCCCUGUGUAGCGGUGAAAUGCGUAGAGAUGGGGGAGAACACUCGUGGCGAAGGCGGCCAGCUAGACCAGUUCUGACACUGAGGCGCGACAGCGUGGGGGAGCAAACAGG
rnacentral:rRNA from 1 species